rnacentral:rRNA from 1 species
ACGGAAGGCAGCAGUGGGGAAUAUUGCGCAAUGGGGGCAACCCUGACGCAGCAACGCCGCGUGAUUGAUGAAGGUCUUCGGAUUGUAAAAAUCUUUUAUCAGAGACGAAGAAGUGACGGUAUCUGAUGAAUAAGCUCCGGCUAACUACGUGCCAGCAGCCGCGGUAAUACGUAGGGAGCGAGCGUUAUCCGGAUUUACUGGGUGUAAAGGGCGAGUAGGCGGAUCGGCAAGUCAGAUGUGAAAUGCCGGGGCUCAACCCCGGAACUGCAUUUGAAACUGUUGACCUUGAGUGAUGGAGAGGCAGGCGGAAUUCCCAGUGUAGCGGUGAAAUGCGUAGGUAUUAGGAGGAACACCAGAGGCGAAGGCGGCUUACUGGACUGUAACUGACGUUGAGGCUCGAAGGCGUGGGGAGCAAACAGGAUUAGAUACCCUGGUA